rnacentral:tRNA from 1 species
GGGCCAGUGGUGCAAUGGAUUAUGCGUCUGACUCGGAAUUGGAAGAUUCUCGGUUCGAUUCCUGGCUGGCUUG